GUCUACAGCCAUCCCACCUUGAAUGCAACUGAUCUCAUCUGAUCUCAGAAGCCAGCUAAGCAGGGUUGGGCCUGGUUAGUACUUGGAUGAAAAAAAAUAGAGAACAUACAUAAAAUAAAUU
ensembl:rRNA 5S_rRNA 5S ribosomal RNA